rnacentral:rRNA from 1 species
UGGGGAAUUUUGGACAAUGGGGGCAACCCUGAUCCAGCAAUGCCGCGUGUGUGAAGAAGGCCUUCGGGUUGUAAAGCACUUUUGUCCGGAAAGAAAUCCUUGGCUCUAAUACAGUCGGGGGAUGACGGUACCGGAAGAAUAAGCACCGGCUAACUACGUGCCAGCAGCCGCGGUAAUACGUAGGGUGCAAGCGUUAAUCGGAAUUACUGGGCGUAAAGCGUGCGCAGGCGGUUUGCUAAGACCGAUGUGAAAUCCCCGGGCUCAACCUGGGAACUGCAUUGGUGACUGGCAGGCUAGAGUAUGGCAGAGGGGGGUAGAAUUCCACGUGUAGCAGUGAAAUGCGUAGAGAUGUGGAGGAAUACCGAUGGCGAAGGCAGCCCCCUGGGCCAAUACUGACGCUCAUGCACGAAAAGCGUGGGGAGCAAAACAGGAUUUAGAUACCCCUGGUAGUCCACGCCCUAAAACGAUGUCAACUAGUUGUUGGGGAUUCAUUUCCUUAGUAACGUAGCUAACGCGUGAAGUUGACCGCCUGGGGAGUACGGUCGCAAGAUUAAAACUUAAAUGAAUUGACGGGGUCAUAGCUGUUUCCU